GGAGUUUGAUCAUGGCUCAGGAUGAACGCUAGCGGCAGGCCUAACGCAUGCAAGUCGGGGGGCAGCACGGUGUAGCAAUACACUGGUGGCGACCGGCGCACGGGUGCGUAACGCGUAUGCAACCUACCCAUAACAGGGGGAUAACACUGAGAAAUUGGUACUAAUACCCCAUAACAUCAGGACCAGCAUCGGUUCUGGUUGAAAACUCCGGUGGUUAUGGAUGGGCAUGCGUUGUAUUAGCUGGUUGGUG
rnacentral:rRNA from 1 species